AAUGCGAUAAGUAAUGUGAAUUGCAGAAUUCAGUGAAUCAUCGAAUCUUUGAACGCACCUUGCGCUCCUUGGUAUUCCUUGGAGCAUGCCUGUUUGAGUAUCAUGAAAUCUUCAAAGUAAAUCUUUUGUUAACUCAAUUGGUUUCUACUUUGGUAUUGGAGGUCUUUGCAGCUUCACACCUGCUCCUCUUUGUUCAUUAGCUGGAUCUCAGUGUUAUGCUUGGUUCCACUCGGCGUGAUAAGUUAUCUAUCGCUGAGGACACUGUAAAAGGUGGCCAAGGUAAAUGCAGAUGAACCGCUUCUAAUAGUCCAUUGACUUGGACAAUACUUUUAUGAUCUGAUCUCAAAUCAGGUAGGAAUACCCGCUGAACUUAAGC
rnacentral:misc_RNA from 1 species